rnacentral:lncRNA from 1 species
GACACGGUUGGAUUCUGGAAGAAAAUAGUUUGGCGAAAGUGCAACGCCGGGUGCUUCCCAAAUGCUACAGCUACGUAAACAUAAGAAUCUAACUACUGCAGGUCACCAGCUCGCACAAGGCUCGCCUUCCGCUCCAGCACCGUAACAAGGCCGCCGCCGCCGCGUCGUACAACAGAAAACAUCGUCAGCAUAAUCGUAAUAAUAUAUAUCGUAUGAUAAGGUGCAGCAACAGUCGCAGCAAUUUAUGUAUACCAAUACCAUCAAACGGGGCAGACAACUGCGAUAAAACACCGUGUAGAGUCCUAUUGCUCUCCCCUUCUCUCUCUCACUCUCACUCUCUCACACUCUUUCUCUCACUCUCUCUCACACACACACACUCACACACACUGAAAGGGGUUUAAGACGUCUUCUGUGUCAGCGGGUUACCUGGUGAACCUACCUGUGUAGGGCCGAUGGAAACUGUCAAAAUUAAUUGUAUGGUACUAUCCGAGGUUUGCUCUGCUAUCAAAGGACACAGGCCGAAAUAUGCAACGCCCAGACCGACAAGCGGUCUCUGCUCCCUUUGCAAUUUUGCAAAAAGCACCAUCCAGCGCGCGCAGCAUCGAUAUGACACAAACAUGUAUCACACCGAGGCUUGCUCCUGCAUAAAAGCACUGCAAUACGGGCUCAUGACGACAUACCGGGUGUCACUAGCGCUUUGGGUGGCUGACAGCGGAUCAGGAGAACGGUGGGUGAGACGCAACGUUCGCAUCAAGAGCUUAAAUCGCGUGUGGACGUACUGCGGCCAUCCUGGUUAGGAUGUUCCCGCACAUUCCUGUAUGCAACGCAUGCGCUUCCGUAACUCAAGCCCACACAGAACCUACCGCAUUAAAUACGUUCCCUAGCCCGUGCGCGAAAAUAGGCCCCCCCGCAGUGAAACCUAUGACCUAUGAGAGAUACGCAGGAUAGGUCGUACAAGAGCAAACGAACAUUUG